rnacentral:rRNA from 1 species
GACGAACGCUGGCGGCGUGCUUAACACAUGCAAGUCGAGCGGUAAGGCCCUUUCGGGGGUACACGAGCGGCGAACGGGUGAGUAACACGUGGGUGACCUGCCCUUAGCUCUGGGAUAAGCCUGGGAAACUGGGUCUAAUACCGGAUAUGACUCCAUAACGCAUGUUGUGGGGUGGAAAGCCUUGUGCGGCUAGGGAUGGGCCCGCGGCCUAUCAGCUUGUUGGUGGGGUGAUGGCCACCAAGGCGACGACGGGUAGCCGGCCUGAGGAGGGCGACCGGCCACACUGGGACUGAGAC